CCCGGGCUUUGGGCCUCUGGCUUUGCUCUGAUGUGUGGACGGUCAUGCCCUCCAGCCUCCUGGUAGAGGAAGUGGCCAUCCAGCUGUCCAUCUUCUGCAUCUGCAGACAGCGUCCCCUCAGACUGUCAUCUGCCCUGUUUGUGGUUAGCAUCUGAGUCUGUCGGUCACGGCAGGCUGAGCAGUGACCAGGCUAGCUGGUCGAGUCCUCCACAGGGGUGGUCUCUGGACAUCGCUGGGCCCUGUGGUGGGUCCCAGUGGAGUCAGGCACCUGGACCUGCCAGGCCUUCAGGGGCACCUGUGUGGCAGGCCACCUGGAUGGCUCCAGUGGCCCACGGGUGCCCGGAGCCAGAUGAAGGGGUGCGGGGCACCUGCUCCCUCUCCUGGGGCCUCUGCUCCUGUGUCCCUGCCUGCUCCAUCAGGAGGAAAGGUGACACCCCUGGGUGGGUGGAACGCAUGCUCUGCGGGAACGCUGAGGGCACGCGUGAGUGGACUCUGCAGGACACCAGGCUCAGCUCUCGGCCACUGUGACGCGCAGGGGGCCCAGUGGGCACCAGAGUGGAGCCAAGCAUCUCCAACGGGAUCGACGUCCCCGGGACUCCGCAGCCCUCUCAUCCACCCUCCCCAAACGGGUGGCAGGGAUAGACCACCGGCCAAGCCAUGGGGGUCCCGCCGGGGCCGGCCACCGGGCCACAGCCCACUGGGCCCUGGCCGCCAGCCUCUGCCAGCAGGUCAGGACGAUUGCCUGGGAGGCACUGGACAGCGUGGAAACACUGGGCCUGAGCAGCUCUGAACUGCAGGGACCCCAUCCUGUCCCUUUGUCCCUUGGACAUCACUGGGACACACAGAAGUAGCAGGUGGCGUGAAGCCCAGCUGUGCUGUCACUGUCGUGGGUUUGGGAGGGUAGAGCCAGGAGCUGGCUAGGGACUGAGGUUGGGCAUCCCCCCGGGGACAGGACAGCAAUCUGUAGGCCCUGGCGCUCCGCCCAGGAAGGCUGGGAGGAGGAUCUCAGCACCCUGAGGGCCCUCUCCCACCCGGCCUCGGGGCAGGCUGGCUCAGGGGAUGGCUGUGGAGAACCCCAUCCCGUGACAAGCUGCCGUUAACCUUUGUCUCCCGCGGCUGCUUGUUCAAGGAGACGCUGCCCGUGAAGGUUGCUGAGCAGCGGCAGCCUCAGAAGUCACGGGACGUCAGGGCCCCUGCUCCCCUGCCUGUUGACUCUGGGCUGGAGCUAAGCCCACAGGAUUAGCCCCCGCCCCCAGGCCUCCUGGCCAUGUUUGUGUCCCUCUGUCUUCGUCUCCCAGAGCCCAGUCUCUGCCGGGGAGAUACCGAGGGCAGGGAGCGCGGACACGGAGCAGGGCCGCUCUCGCCUGGCGUGGGUGUGCUCCCUGGGGGCGCAGGCCAGCCGGCCACUCUGGUCACGGGGACCGGGCUUUCCAGCACACCUGCCACAGCGGAGCCGGGCGUGUCCCUGCACUCCCACUCGGCCUGGUGGAGUCGCAUUCCUGUCUGUGUGUCACUACUGCUGCCUGAAAGGGCACUUGUUGGCAACGUGGGUCUCUGAGGAGAGGCCCAGACGACGCGGGGGCAGGACAGGGUGCAGCUGGCCCUGAGUGACGAUGGCGGCUGAGCCUGGGAGCCACGCAGGCAGCCCGGAUUAAUAAUGGUGAGCAGACACAGCAGGACACACCCGUAUUCCUGGCCACUUGGGCGUCUGAGGCAGGAGGAUCCCUUGAGCCCAGCUUGAGAUCAGCCUGGACAACCCUGUCCCCCAGAAUAAAACCAGUUGGGUGCAAAGGCACAGGUCUGUGACCCUGGCACAUCGGAGGCUGCGUGGGAGGAUGGCCAGUUCAAAGCCAGCCUCAGCAACUUGGCAAGAGCCCAUCUCAAAGUGAAAUAAAAAUCGCUGGGGAUGCAGCUGGUCAGGGAGCCCUGGGCUCAAUCCCCAGUGACUAGUUAGUCAAUAAGAUUGAAAA